GAACAAGAAAGACGUAAAUGAUGAGAAAGGUCGUCAAGAGCGACGUCGGAAGGGGCUGACCUUGCUUAAGAGUGCAUGGCCUUCUGAACUAGAACAACCACUAUAUGACGUUGAUCUUGUCAUAAUUUUAUGCGAGAUGAAUGACUUUAAAGAAGGAUUGUUGUUUCUGUAUGAGAAGAUGAAACUUUUCAAAGAAGUUAUUGCAUGCUACAUGCAGGUACAUGAUCAUGAAGGUUUGAUUUCAUGCUGCAAGAGAUUGGGUGAUUUGGGUAAGGGGGGUGACCCUUCUCUUUGGGCAGAUUUGUUGAAGUAUUUUGGUGAACUUGGAGAAGACUGCUCAAAAGAAGUCAAAGAAAUCCUGACAUACAUUGAGAGGGGUGAUAUCUUGCCUCCCAUUGUGGUUCUUCAGACACUUGCUAAAAACCCGUGCCUCUCUCUCUCAGUUAUCAAAGAUUACAUAGCUAGAAAGUUAGAACAUGAGUCUCAGUUGAUUGAAGAAGAUCGCAGAGCUAUGGAAAAGUAUCAGGAAGAAUCAUCAAUAAUGAGAAAAGAGAUCCAGGAUCUAAGAACAAAUGCUAGAAUAUUUCAGCUUAGCAAGUGUACUACUUGCACAUUCACCCUAGACCUUCCUGCUGUCCACUUCAUGUGUAUGCACUCAUUUCAUCAGCGAUGUCUUGGCGACAAUGAGAAAGAGUGCCCCGAGUGUGCUCCCGAGUACAGAGCCGUUCUGGAAACAAAGAGAAGCUUGGAACAAAGUUCCAAAAACCCAGACCAGUUCUUCCAACAAGUCAAGAGCUCAAAGGAUGGAUUUUCCGUAAUUGCUGAUUAUUUUGGCAAGGGGAUUAUCAGCAAAACCAGCAACGGGCCUUCUGAAGCUAAUGGAUCAAACAGUGCUUCUUCCGGCAACGAUUUCUAGCGUUUUGUCAUCACAGUUUUUGAGUACUAAAGUUGUUGAGAUCUCUCCGGCUAUAAACAAAGUUCAUUGAGCUACAUGUUCAGAAGAAUGUCAUCCAUCCUGUUUGGUGUUUAUUAGGCCACUUGUUUCUUUUAAGGUUAUUGUUGAGCUGCAGUUCUACAACUCUCUGUGAACAAAAUAAAAUUAUGUGCAGAAGAACAAUCUGAUUGAUUUGGAUAAAAUCU
rnacentral:misc_RNA from 1 species